CAGGCCUAACACAUGCAAGUCGAACGAGACUUUUGGUUUACCGAAAGUUUAGUGGCGGACGGGUGAGUAACGCGUAAGAACCUACCUUUUGGUUGAGGGAUACCAGCUGGAAACGGUUGCUAAUACCUCAUAUGCUGAGAAGUAAAAGGUGGAAACAUCGCCAGGAGAGGGGCUUGCGUCUGAUUAGUUAGUUGGUGAGGUAAAAGCUUACCAAGACUAUGAUCAGUAGCUGGUUUGAGAGGACGAUCAGCCACACUGGGACUGAGACACGGCCCAGAUCCCUACGGGGAGCAGCAGUGAGGAAUCUUCCGCAAUGGGCGAAAGCCUGACGGAGCACUAUCGCGUGGAGGAAGACAGCUCGUGAGUUGUAAACUCCUUUUGUCAGAGAAGAAAAAUGACGGUAUCUGACGAAUAAGCAUCGGCUAAACUCUGUGCCAGCAGCCGCGGUAAU
rnacentral:rRNA from 1 species